rnacentral:lncRNA from 1 species
GAGCCUCUGGUCGGGUUGAAUCAAUCUGGCAGCGCCGUGGGGUUUGGGGUGUUCAUAAAACUCGAAUGGCAUUGAAAAUCAAAGGUAUUGCAUAUAUUCAAUUAUUCCAGGAGCAAAAUUUGAAAAAUCUAGAAAAAGAAACUAUACUGACCUUUUAAAUAUUACAAAAUACAGAUAUAUCAUUUCAAAUUGUCGUACCAAUUGCUACUAGGGGUGCUCAUAAAACUCGCGGGUCGAGACGUGCUCGAAGUUCGCUCGAAAAAGUUCGGAAAAGCUCGAUUCAAAAUCGGCUCAGUUUUAAAUGAGCUGGCUCGGCUCGGUUCGGUUUGUAAACACACCUUCCACAUAUCUAACUUGAUUGUUUAAAAAACACAAGCCAAAACCGAGCGAGCCGAGCCAGAUCGAAUUUUAUACGAGUCGAGCCCGAGCUCAAAUUUUUGGCUCGACUAAUGAUUUCGAGCCGAGCCGAGAUGGCUCGUUUGAAGUUCGAACCGAGGUCGAGCUGGCCCUGGCUUGGCUCGAAUCGGCUCGU